rnacentral:rRNA from 1 species
AUUGAACGCUGGCGGCAUGCCUUACACAUGCAAGUCGAACGGCAGCACGGAGCUUGCUCUGGUGGCGAGUGGCGAACGGGUGAGUAAUAUAUCGGAACGUACCCUAGAGUGGGGGAUAACGUAGCGAAAGUUACGCUAAUACCGCAUACGAUCUAAGGAUGAAAGCAGGGGACCGCAAGGCCUUGUGCUCCUGGAGCGGCCGAUAUCUGAUUAGCUAGUUGGUGAGGUAAAGGCUCACCAAGGCAUCGAUCAGUAGCUGGUCUGAGAGGACGACCAGCCACACUGGAACUGAGAAACGGUCCAGACUCCUACGGGAGGCAGCAGUGGGGAAUUUUGGACAAUGGGGGCAACCCUGAUUCAGCAAUGCCGCGUGAGCGAAGAAGGCCUUCGGGUUGUAAAGCUCUUUUGUCAGGGAAGAAACGGUGAAGGCUAAUAUCCUUUGCUAAUGACGGUACCUGAAGAAUAAGCACCGGCUAACUACGUGCCAGCAGCCGCCGUAA